UACAGAGGGUGCAAGCGUUAAUCGGAAUUACUGGGCGUAAAGGGCGCGUAGGCGGUUGAUUAAGUGAGAUGUGAAAUCCCUGGGCUUAACCUAGGAACUGCAUCUUAUACUGGUUGACUAGAGUACUGUAGAGGGUAGUGGAAUUUCCGGUGUAGCGGUGAAAUGCGUAGAGAUCGGAAGGAACACCAGUGGCGAAGGCGGCUACCUGGACAGAUACUGACGCUGAGGCGCGAGAGCGUGGGGAGCAAACAGG
rnacentral:rRNA from 1 species